AUUCUCACUUUUUUCAUAUAAUUUUACAAAUAGAAACAAAUUUGUUUUGUGCCAUGAAUGAGAACCAGUUCUGUUUUAAGAAACGCUACGUAUGCAAAUAUCAGAAAAUCUAAAGAACGUUAACGAUUUAUUGUUUACACUGACAUUUGCGUGGCAUAUGUAGUGCAUAUACAGACUACUGAAAAUUGAAUUCCACUUUACAAGUAACUUUCACUUAUAUUAGUAAACUAACUAGAAUACCCAGGGUUACCACCAAACUUUUGAGAAUACUAAAAAAAAGAAAGACAAAUACAUUAUGAGAAUUAAGUAGCAUUACACUCUUUUAAAAAACCCUGCCAAACAUGGAAAAUAUGAUGACUGAAAAAGGGGCGAAAUAAACACAUAAAAGGAUUUACACUUCAACUAAAGAAGGUGUGCCAGGGGGAGGGGCUGGAGGAAACGACGAUUACCGUUGAUACCGAGGACUCCCUAAUCCGGCAGACUAGGAGAUAACAUGGGAAGAUGUCGUGAUAGGCAUGCAGAUCAUGGUCGUCUACUUUGGUGAUGUUGGCUCUCUUCAUCGUGGCCUACUCUGCCUACAAAUUUUAUCACGCGGACGAAAGUAAGACCUUAGGGCGACUCCAGUUGUCAGCCCUCCUGUUCGAACUCAACAUCUCGAGGAACAGCGUCGCCCCGUGCGCAUCUUGCCUUCGCCGGCACCUCCUCAGACGCCACUGGUCUGACCUUAGCACCGAGCUACCACGCCGAGGGCGAAGAGAAGAUUUGGCGUGAUGCGUAUAAGUGGAGAGCGGAGUGCAAGGCCUUUUGAUGGGCACUUGGCAUGGGAAGUCUCGGCUGCUUUUAUUGGUCCUGCCUUCCUGACUGGAGAAACUUAUUAGUGCAACUGCCUUACAAGAGAAGCCUUCCAAAGGGGGGUAACUCCGGGCAAGAACAUCGCCUGUCAGAUUCAGCCUCCUGCAAGAAACGCACCGCUCUUUUAUCUCAAGUACCGGGAGAGACAUUCAUUGCGGGUGCCUGUUGAUAAGUCUUUCUAAAUAACUGUUUCAUUGGCUUGGGUAACCAGUGUAGAUGAACAAGUAAAGAGGUCUAUGGCCUCUAUGCACCGAUUGUGUGAUUUUUCUCUUUCCUCCCGUGGCUCCGCCCUCAGUCGAUUCACACACCCUUCCCCGACGUAACCUAUGCGCACCUUAGAGCCGACACCUCAUGUACAGUAAAACUCUAAAUGCUCAAUCUAAGGUGCUUCAUGGUUACCUCUGUUCCAGAGAAAGCAAUUCCAGAUUUUGUUUGCUCUCACAGCAGUAUUACUGAAUCGAUAUGAUAAAACAUUUUGAUGUAAACAUCUUUGGUAAAUUUACCUCUGUGUUUUAUGAAUCUCCAUAUGCAUUUUGUGGUUGAUUAUAACCUAGUGAAUAUGUUUUAAUGUACCGGAAUGUGAAAUCAUCAGCAGACAUGAUCGUUGCAACUGAUACAGGGAUAAUUGAUGAUAACUGAAAAGAAAUAAAAUGUGAUCAACUGACACCCUGCAUCAAUCGACCUCAGAACAGGAGCAAACAUGCACACGGAUGUUUGGAAAUAUUUGGUAAGGAAAAUGAGAAAUACAUACCUAUGUAAAUACCUAUACUUACAUAUAUACAUAUACAUACAUGCAUAUAUAUAUGUAUGUAUGUGCGUGUGUGAUCAUAUACAAAAAUAUAUAUAUAUAU
rnacentral:misc_RNA from 1 species